rnacentral:rRNA from 10 species
AUAAUUGCUUACGGCCAUACCACCUUAGGCAUGCCCGAUCUCGUCUGAUCUCGGAAGCUAAGCAGGGUCGGGCCUGGUUAGUACUUGGAUGGG